rnacentral:rRNA from 1 species
UACGAAGGGGCGAGCGUUGUUCGGAUUUACUGGGCGUAAAGAGCUCGUAGGCGGUUGGGCAAGUUCACGUGUGAAAUCUCCACGCUCAACGUGGAGGCGCCACGUGAGACUGCCCUGACUCGAGUCGGUAGGGGCGUGCGGAACUUCCGGUGGAGCGGUGAAAUGCGUAGAUAUCGGAAGGAACACCGGUGGCGAAAGCGGCGACGCUGGACCUCUUCUGACGCUGAGGCGCGAAAGCCAGGGGAAGCAAACGGGG